CCCCUCUCUCCCCUCUCUUCUCUUUCAGUUGUCUUUUUAAAAAAUCUGUUUCCUCUUCUACCAGGAUGUAAUGUCAGAGGCAGUGUCUCCCUCGCACCUAGCAGAACAUCUGUUACAUGGAUGAUCACAAGCAUCUAGGCUCUGACAGGCUUUUUAAUCAUCUGACCUGCUUCGAGUAUUUAUGAAACAGAGAAGAACCACAGGAAUGAUCUAGGGGCAGAUGGAUCGCUUUCCUAACCAGGUGUGGCCUCAUUGGAAGAAGUACAACACUGUGUACACAGGCUUAAGCUCUGCCUGGUGUGGAAUCAGAGCCUCCUCCUCGCUGCCUACAAAGGACAGUCCCUUUCUACUGCCUGCAAAUCAAGAUGUAGAACUCUCAGCUCAUCUAGCACCAUGUCUGCCUGCAGAUUGCCAUGCUUCCUGCCAUGAUGAUAAUGGACUGAACCUCUGAAACUGUAAGU